rnacentral:rRNA from 1 species
ACGCUGGCGGCGUGCCUAAUACAUGCAAGUAGAACGCUGAAGAGAGGAGCUUGCUCUUCUUGGAUGAGUUGCGAACGGGUGAGUAACGCGUAGGUAACCUGCCUUGUAGCGGGGGAUAACUAUUGGAAACGAUAGCUAAUACCGCAUAACAAUGGAUGACACAUGUCAUUUAUUUGAAAGGGGCAAUUGCUCCACUACAAGAUGGACCUGCGUUGUAUUAGCUAGUAGGUGAGGUAACGGCUCACCUAGGCGACGAUACAUAGCCGACCUGAGAGGGUGAUCGGCCACACUGGGACUGAGACACGGCCCAGACUCCUACGGGAGGCAGCAGUAGGGAAUCUUCGGCAAUGGGGGCAACCCUGACCGAGCAACGCCGCGUGAGUGAAGAAGGUUUUCGGAUCGUAAAGCUCUGUUGUAAGUCAAGAACGAGUGUGAGAGUGGAAAGUUCACACUGUGACGGUAGCUUACCAGAAAGGGACGGCUAACUACGUGCCAGCAGCCGCGGUAAUACGUAGGUCCCGAGCGUUGUCCGGAUUUAUUGGGCGUAAAGCGAGCGCAGGCGGUUUGAUAAGUCUGAAGUUAAAGGCUGUGGCUCAACCAUAGUUCGCUUUGGAAACUGUCAAACUUGAGUGCAGAAGGGGAGAGUGGAAUUCCAUGUGUAGCGGUGAAAUGCGUAGAUAUAUGGAGGAACACCGGUGGCGAAAGCGGCUCUCUGGUCUGUAACUGACGCUGAGGCUCGAAAGCGUGGGGAGCGAACAGGAUUAGAUACCCUGGUAGUCCACGCCGUAAACGAUGAGUGCUAGGUGUUGGAUCCUUUCCGGGAUUCAGUGCCGCAGCUAACGCAUUAAGCACUCCGCCUGGGGAGUACGACCGCAAGGUUGAAACUCAAAGGAAUUGACGGGGGCCCGC